GCCACUGGUUUUCUUUCGUCUGUCCAGUUCUACCUUGGCCUGUGUAGCCACCUUAGACCCGCGGAAUCUGUGCCGCUGCUCCCUCUACCUUCUCUUUCGGCGGCCAGCACUAAGAAUUCGUGCUACGACGCUCGAUUCAGCCAGAAGGUGGCACCAAGUGUGAUCAGAAGCCAUGCCACUGGUGAAGAGGUAUAUUGAACCCUGCCUGGCCCAGUGAGGUUACUAGAGAAUUGGGAGAGGCUUAGAUCAAUGUCCUGCGCAUGGUUAUCUACUCAUUGUGAAGUCUUGAAAAUCACCUGGGAUGCCUGUUAAAAAUGCAGAUUCCUGGGCAGCCAGAACCUUGUCAUUGGUCAAGAGCAACACUAAGACCUACCUGUCAUUUAUGUUGAGGCUUCUUGCCCAGUGGGUUCAUCAGCAAGCCAGAAUGAAACGCCAUUGCCAUGGAUGUCCUUGUGAUGCAGUUGGGAAUUCUUGUCACAGAAGCUGCAAUGAAUUCUCUCAUGGCCCUGAAGUAUGGUUUGUUCCCAUGGAGAAGAACCUAACAGAAGAUUGAUAGCGUGGACAUGUUGUUUCUGGCAUCAGGGAUGAGGGAUAAUUAACAUAUAGUGUUGUAUUAGUUUCAAGUGCACCAUACAGGGAUUCAGCAACUCCAUAUAUUUAUUAUUCAGUGUUCAACUCAGUGUUCAUCAAGGAGACCUUUAGAAACAACUUGUCAAGUCCUCACCAUGAAUACCAUUGGAAUUGCAUUUGGAAUGGCAUUGAAUGCGUAGAUUUAAUUUUUGGAGAGCGAUCAUCUUUAUAAUCUCCUCAUACAUGAAUGUGAAGUGCUUCCUCCAUCCUGCAAGCUUCUGGGAACUCAGUGCCCAUUGUAUACAGGAUAUGUACCCAUUGAAGACCUUCAUGCCCUCCGAUAUAAGGCUAACUGUGUUCUCACUACAGAAGUUUGGAAUCAGAGAGUUUCUUCUCUCUGCUGCCUUUUGAGCUGCGGCACUAUGCUGGGAGAUGGGACUAUGGAGACGAAUUUAGGCACAGUCCCUGCCCUCAGGUGUUCUCAGUCUAGUGAGAGGGUUCGACGUGUACACAAAUAAUUACAACAGUAUGGUAUGCUCUACAAUGGAGGUAUGUACAAGAUACUAUGGGGUUUAGAAGAGAAAUCAUUUGAUUGAGUAUAGAGAUGCCAGAGGUUGGAGGAACUGAUGCUUAAGUGGCUUAAAAGAAGUAACGCUAGACUAGGAAGAAGACAGGGGAGUACCUGUUAAGCAAAGGCGUGGACAUUGGAGAUAGAAUGAUGACAUGGGGGAACUACAAGUAGUUCCUAAAAUUCAGACUUGUGGGCUGACAAUAGGUCCUUAUGUAGUAUUCCAUGAAAUAUGGAUUCCAUUUUGAGUGUUUAAGUAGGAGAUGCUUUUGAUGGUCACUCUGGCAGUACUCUAGAGUGUGUUCUGGAAGAUACUCGGGUCUGGACAGGGAGAUUAGUUAGUAGGUAAGAUGAUAAAUUACCUAAGGCCAGAAGGAGUGGGAGUGGAGGAAUGGAGCUAACCUCUUAAUGAGAGGCUGUACAAACAUGGACAUAAUAGAACAUGGGAAAAUUAAUAGAGGGGGCAAUUAAGGCUCUCAGACUUUGGCAAAUGUGCAAUCACCUAUCUCCAUCCCUGGCCUUGAUGAGAAAUCCCCUCAUGUUUUCUGGAAGAGCAUUGCUGCUGUUUUCUUUUGAACCAGGGCUUGACUGUACUGUUUUUUUGCAAGUUUCUUUUUGGGAUGGCAGCUGUGUAUGAAAUGUUGAGUCUCAGAAAGACGUCUGAACAGCUGCAGACCUCUCAUAGGAUUACUUAGUUCCUGAUCCUUCUCACCAGUAGCAAUUCUCCCUCACUGCCACCUGUCACCCAAAGUCAGAGUGGAGGCUCUCAUCUCUCAGACCCCCUGAGGGAAGAGACAGCGCUUGAUGUCACUGUCUCAGUUCUGUUUUGCUUAGGAAUUUUAGUGUUUAUGGCUACCUCCCAGUAAAAUACAUUCAGUAAUCAAAAAUCUAUACAUGCACUAUUCAUUACCUCUUUUUUCAAAGCAAUAGGAACGUGUCCUUUGGAAAAUUCUCCACCUAGGGCUCAGAGGAGUGACCUUGGGAAUUCAGGGAAUGGAUCUCUGUGACUAGAACAAUUAACAGGAAAUUAUAUUUAAUUAGACCUUAGGUAUUUUCAGUGAACCCUCUGUAAGUAGCCAUCUAGAGGAUGGUAAGGGGAAGAAGGGAUGGGAAAGGGAGCUCUGAGUAGGACAGCAAAGCAGAAUAGUAAAAGUUUGGGCCUGGGGACUAAAUAGCCUAGGCUCAGAUCUGCUCUUACAUUCACCAGUGUGGUGUCAAGCAUGGUUUUUCACCUCUCUGGUACUUGACUUUCUCUUAUGUAAAAUAGGGGUAAUAAUCUUUUUGGCAAUGAUUUGGGGAGGGGGUGAUCUCAAUGAUUUGUAAGGAUUUAAUGGAAUUGUUCGUGUAAAUUGCUUGGAAUGAGUCUGAAGUAUGCUAAAUACUGUAUCAACUGUAAUUGCUGCUGAUGAUGAUGUUGACCAUGAAAAGGAUUAAAAGAAGAUAGUUAACAAGAGGUGCUUAUUAUAUUUUACAUUGUCAAUGAGACUCUUGGGGUUCGAGAAAGAAAGGAUAACAAACUGAUGUGAAGGUUUUCAAUGGUGUGCUAGUAUGAAGUCAAUUCGUCAAUUCUCUGCCUUCUUUUUUCUUCUCUGCCAAAUAGGUUGGGAAGCCAGAUGAAGUUUGUCCAUGCCCUGAUCACUAAUCUAUUGCCUUUGCUCUUAUUUCCAAAUAGAAACCUGUUGAAAAGUUGUGUUACACCUGAAUAAAGGUUGUCCUAAAAAUGUAGAAAAAAUGCUUUGGAGUUGGUCAAAUACUGGACUUGAAACCUGACUCAACUGCUUACUAGCUGUGUGAUCUAAGGCAUGUUACUACUUAACCUCAUUGAACCUCAGUUGCUUCAUCUAAUAUCAUAAUUAAUUUGCAGGGUUUCUCUGAGGAUAUUUGUCAAGUGUAUGUCAUAAGCACUCUAUAAAUCAUAGCUAUCAUUGUUAGUUCUUGGGCUACUCACCAUGUGACAGAGACAACAGCACGCCCUGGUGGCUGGGAGGACUGCAUGGAUCCAUCCUCAACUUGGAGUUGUGCUCUUCUGAAGAAAUCCUACUCGGAUGGAUAUAAUACAACCUGCUAAGUGUCCUAGCACUUAUCAGGUUGUAUUAUCAUUGUCCGUGUCUAUGGCUCUCGUCUACCAGACUCUAAAUUCCUUACAGGCAAGGACAGUGCCUUAUUCAUCUUUGUAUUCGGUGCCUAAUCCCGUGCACAUUGUAGGCCUCAUUAAAUGUUUGUUGAAUGAAAAACUGAAUCAUCAACAGACAUUAAUUGGGCGCCUGCUCUGUGAUCUCCAUGGGCUCAGCUUUUUCCCGCCAGUUGCCUACAACGUCCAAGCUGUCUUCAAUAUGCUUUCUCCUGAAGCUUACUCCUAUCUUCUAAUCCUUUUGCUGAGGACUUUUCUGUGUAGUGCAAGGAAAGCAAAUAUAUUUACUUCAUCUCAAGUACCAUCUCCAACCGAUUGAGAGUACCUGCCUUGAUUGUGUUUAUAAAAAGGAUUCUGAAGCCAGGUCUCAGUUCAGUGUGAAAGAGCGUUAUGACUAAUCAGCAGUGUUUGCCAAGGGUGGGGGAGAGGGGCAUAACAGCACAAGGGCCAUAUCUGUGUCUUAUUUGAUACUAUGUUUUCCGUGAAAUACUCUGUUUCUAUGCCUGCAUUUUAGUCUUGGCUACUUGCAGACGUUGCAUGGCUGCCGCUGCCGCUGCCCCUACUACAGUUGCUGCUGGUUGCUCCUUGGGUAGGACCAAAGUGAUCAUUGAUCAGAAACUUCAUCCUCACAGUCUGGGGUUUGCUCCUGUGGCUGGUAUUCACAGUUUCCCCUUUCAACUUUACCUCAGCUAUCCCCUUACCUACCACACUGACAGGUAGGCCUCCCCUUUCCGUUCACCACCCAAAAGGCUCAUAUUUCUUUUCUUAUUUCGUAUGAUUAAUUGUUCUUGUUCCAUGAGAAGCCUUCUUUCUGUUAGAAGAUGUGACAACUAGAAUACAAGUUAAACGAUUCCAUCAGGGCGCUACAGUGAGUCAUAUAAGCUUCCCCUUUACAGUGGGAGAAAAUUGCAGACUUUGGGGCAGGAAGAACUGAGAAGGGAUGUGCGUUGUAGAUGUGGGAGAGGAAGACGAUAGCAGAUGGAAUAAGAUCCUGGGAAACGAUGUAGGUUGGGAGGGUGAAACCUGUGGCUCUAAAAUAGGGAUGGAGGGUUGAUAGCCUUGGUUGAAAGGAGUUUACCUCCUCACUGGAGCGUAGGGAUGGGAGUCAGGAAGAGUAGCUGAGAGGGUUGUUGAAGAUUUGUAAUUGCUGAGGUGAGUGAUGGAGAGGAAGCUGACCCGGGACAGGAUUAUGGAGACAAACCAAAGUCUAAGGACUAUUCAGGCCAAAAGGCUGGAGUGGGGCCUUUUGGUAUGUUAAAGUGAGAUACUAUCAUAUUAAAUGAUAUAUUAUACAUUCAGUUAAAGUGAGAAGCCAGUCUGAAACGUGAUUAGAAACUCAGGAAAUUAUAAAGUGGUCUUAGGCCACUGUCACAAGUAAAUUUGAUUGCCUGGGACCAACCUUUAUUGACUGAGGAGUGGACAGCUAGCAAGAGAAGGGUUACACAGAAAUGAAUUUGGAAAUCCAGACUAUGUGUGGAAGGCAGUUAGGUCAGAAUUGAGCUCAAAAGUCUGAAUACAAAGAGGACUUGGUGUGAUCAAGAUGGGUGUGGAAUAGUUGGAAAAUUGCAAUAAUAGGACCUGUAAUCAGAGAGUAGAUUUUUAGAGAUUUCAAAACUGGAGUGGUCAAGAUACUUGCGAAACUGGGAUGUCAGAUGGUCAGCUACAUAAAUACUGAAGUGAGCCAGGAUUAUAGCAGAAGCCAGACUGGGAACAAACACUGGGGGCCAGAUAGAAUAGGCUUUGGUGCCUGAGGAAUGGUUAGAGGUUGGCUCAUGGCAGCGGUGCAGGUGCAAAAGAGGAAAGGAUGUGGCGGGAUAGUAGUAGGAGCCGCAAAAGAGUGGCAAAGAUUAUUAGAAGUUACAAAAAAAAUUUAAUUUGCACAUUGCACUGUGGUGUUAGCUUGCAGAACGCCCAGCUAAAACGAUCCCCUCAUUUACUGAGCUCCUGCUCUCUCCCUGGCACCUUGCUCUGUACUCUCCAUUUACCCACUUUGGGUCUAUCACAUACCAGGUGUGAGAGAAUGAGCAGCGGUCCCAAGCAAGGACAGCUAGGGUAGCUGCUGGCCCUCAGAACUGAUGGAAUGCUGUGGCCACCUCAGCAGACUGGGCAGCUUGAAGUGGCAUAAAAAGAUUUCCUUAGGAUCAAAAUUUUCCCUUGACAUUGACCUAACUUUAUUACAUGGUACAAGCUCGUGUUGGCUGUUCCAUAAUGUACUCUGGCUUCCAAGCCUCUGAGUUGGGGAGUAUGCUGGUACUGUCCUUUAAAAAACAAAAACAGGCACAACACUUGAAAAAACACACAUAUUGAUUAACUCUAAAAUAAGACACUCUGGUUAUCUAUUUGAGCUUUUAAGAUAAAGGAUAGAUCAAGGAAAACUCACAUUGAUGGGUGAAUAACAAAACCACUUUGGAAAACCACUCUGAGGUCAGGAUUGUCCAGUUUAGUGGACUUACUAUAGAUAACUGCUGUGCUGUCGGGAAGGAGGGCUAGAAAUUGAGGCAGAAAAUGUCCCUUAGGACCCAGAAGGUCAAGUUUAGGAGAAGAGAGUCUCUCUGUGAACCCUGUGACAUUGCAUGUAGUCAUUUUUCUUCAGUUACAGUCUUCACAUGAGUUAUGAAAUUUCAGUGAAGGUUUAGAGCCACUGUUAUAGAGAGACCAGGCCCUCAGACAGCUCAUCCCCUUCUUUGGGGGCUGCUUUAUAAUUAUUCCUCAGGAGGAUCUGGUAGAAGACUUCGUUGGGGGAGAAGAAAAGGCAAGAACCGGACAAGGACUACAGCCUGUCUUCAUCUCAACUUCACAAAGCAUGAUUCAGCAGAGGGAUCGUUCUCUUGAGACUCUCCAGACCACAGGCCACCUGUGACAGUCAUCACCUGGGAGGAGCCUUGUUGUGAAUGAGUGAAUGAAGCCUCAGUGAGUGAGUGGAGUGGCACUCAUGUUUUUCUCUGAAUAUAAGGAGAGGGAAGGAGGCCAUGAAAUCCCAUAAUGGAGUAACAGAAAUUUGACAUUUUAGUAGAUACUGGACCUAGAAGCCUACAUGAAUGAAGGAAACAACCCUGAGAGAUCUUGGAUGUGAGUGAGUGAAGAUAGGAGUGAACUCCUUAUUACCCUGAGUAAUGGAGGAAAAGGGGAAAAAAGUGUGAGGGAAGUCAAAAUCCUUUAUGUCCCCGGAGGAGGCCCUGAAACUAGCUUCAUAAACCAGUGACUUUUUAAGGUGGAUUAAAGAUGAGUUGUUGCACCGCACUACUUCCGUUGCUGUUUGUGUUGAGAGUUGCUGUUCAAAGCCGGUUUCUCAGGUACAGCUGCCUUUGUGGAGACUCCUCUUGACCCCUAUUGAAAAACAGCCCAGAACGAGGUUUGCAACUUAGAACUCUCUGGAUCAGUGACAGAGUUUUAAAGGGGUCGAGGACAGAGGAGGUAGCACAAGUAAUACCAAAUAGCUCAGGUUUUUAUAUAUAUAUAGGAUGGAUGGGAUAGAGGCGGAGAGCCCAGUGGUUUUAGGCAACUCCAAACACCCGGUGAGGCAUAAGGAAACAGUACACUGAAAGGUCAGCCCUUCAACCUAUUAUUUGUCAAUCUCCAGAGCAUGAUAGAAUAUCUAAAAGUUGUAAAAGAUUCUUUCCUAGAAGAGAUUCAGAAGAGGGGAACUUCCCGUUAUGUAAUACGGGCAUUACAGCUUUUAAAGAGUUCCCUACAUAGGUCAUGGAAAUUGUUACUCAUAUCUGCCUGUGGGUGACCAGGCAAGUAUUAACUUUGAGGUUUCAUGCCCUUGGAGAGAUCCUGCCACUCUCUUGCUUUGACAGGUGUUCAUCUGCAGAAUGAGUCCAGUACUUGAAGAAGUAAGAGGACAACAGGCAUCCAGGGGACAGCAGUGUGGUCUUCUAAGUGAAGAUGGCAACAGAAAAGAUCAUGGACUUGGCUGGAUUGGGCUGGGCUUAUUUGUUGUUUCAGAAUUUUAAAAAUACUUUUUUUUUUCUUGACAGUAAAAGUAACAGAUGAUCAUUGUUGAAAAAUCAAAGGUAUAAAUUAAAAAGUCAAGAACACCUAUAAUCUUAUAACCCAGAAAACAACUCAACAUUUGAGUGUUGCCUUUUGCCCUUUUAAAAAAGAAUGUCUGCAACAGUUUUUCACAUUUUUAUUUUAAUUUCAGUUAGUAAACAUACAAUGUUCUGUUCAUUUCAGAUGUACAAUUUAAAAACAAAAUUGACAUCAUAUUGCAUAUGUUGUUUUCCAUUUUUCUUCAUUUGAAAAUAACGUAUUUCCAUGUCACUACCAUUCUUUGAAAACACAGUAUUGGUACAUGGUAUUUCAUAGGGAUCUAACAAAAUUUAGGUAGGUAAUUGAAUGCUGCUGGACAUUUUGCAUAUUACCAAUUUUGCCUAUAAAAUGUAAUAAACGUUGUAUGUUAAUCACUG